UACGUAGGGGGCAAGCGUUGUCCGGAAUUACUGGGCGUAAAGCGCGCGCAGGCGGUUCUUCAAGUCAGAGGUGAAAGCCCAGAGCUCAACUCUGGAAUGGCCUUUGAGACUAGAGAACUAGGGUACGGGAGAGGUGAGUGGAAUUCCGAGUGUAGAGGUGAAAUUCGUAGAUAUUCGGAAGAACACCAGUGGCGAAGGCGGCUCACUGGCCCGUUACCGACGCUCAGGCGCGACAGCGUGGGGAGCAAACAGG
rnacentral:rRNA from 1 species